CCGCGCAGCCCGCGACGCCGCGGUGCGCGCGUCCCUCCCACCCCGCACGCCUCCCGACGGUUCCCAUCUCGCUCACCCCGCUGUCCUCCCCGCCGGGCGCCGCCCUCCCCGCCGCUCCGUCUCCUGCGUUGCUCACCAGCAAGGCUGGCAGCGGCGCCACCACGCGCUCAACCCCGCGUCAUCGCCCCCGCGCGCACUGACUCGACAACUGCGGGGGAGGAGCUCCCGUCCUGAUCCUCACCCCUCUCCUCCAUCGCCGGGGCUAGAGCUGUGGGCGGAUCGAUCCGGCGGAGUCCGAGCUCUCCUCCGGGCAGAUCGAUUCUCCCUCCCUCCUCCUAUGGAACCUGUUCUGCGGGUGGAUCGAUCUCGACUCAAGCACCUUGGCCGACUCGCCGUCCCACGGCUCCGCAGCCGUUGCGACUACCCUCCGUACCGUAUCCCCGCCGCCGCGUCCUCUCCUACUCCGCCGUCGCUCCACCCCGCACACCCCUGCCUCCUCUGCCCAACCGCACCAUAGGGGUUGCACAUACUCCCGCACAUGAACCUUAGGAAGCUGUGUUGCCUCUUCCUUGAGGACAAGCCUGCGCAUCGACGAGUGCGCCCGACCUCUGCUUCCUGAACCUUGAUUUGGACCCAAGCAAGACAAUCAUGUACCAUUGCAAUGUCGAGAACAGGAUGAUUCCAUAGCAACGAUUUUUAAGGCAAUCCACCUCAGGUCCACGAGACACUGGAAAUCAGAUUUGUGGUGUGUCCCUUUCAAGCCACAGUAUACAAUUAUUGUCUUGGUUAAUUUAAUGGAAAUCAGAUUUGUGGUGUCCCUUUCAAGCUACAGUAUACCAUUAUUAGAUUGGUUUAUUUAAUUACUUGUUGUGGCAUUUGUAGCUCAGAUGAUCGACUCCAACCUACAUUAAUGUGCUAACCAGUAUGCAUGCAAACAACUCUGCUUAUCUCUGUUUUCGCUCUGCAGCUAAAUGCUUAAUUUUGUGAAUGAACAGUUAGCCAUUCUUGCAUGUUAAGUGAUAUGGAUGCAGGAGAUUUUAUUCUAAUCUCUACUUGUUUACCUCGGUUAGAUUUGGAUGAAUCCCAUGGCCAAGUAUUAAGUUAAUCUUUGGAGUAUUAGCUUAUCUCUUUUGCUUGGGUUUGGACCUUGGUACAGGUGAAGGUGCUCUACGCUUGCACUACCUGUCAGGGUCUCCUUUUCAGUACUGCUAAUUGAUUUUGCUUGUUCACUAAAAUUGUGAUGCUAUGUUAUUGAUUCCAGAUGAGGCAUAAUAGUCCACUAACUUAGUGCAAGCUUGUGGCCGGCUAUUCGCUUGUGUUCUACUUUCACAUUGUUUUGAAUCGUUUCUAGAGCAAGCUCGAGCUGCCUUUGUGUUCUCUCCACUCCAAAUUGGUCACCCAAUACUUUACACAUACAUGGUCAGGUCAUCACUCGUCAGGGUGGGUUCUUGUAAAAUUCUAGGGCAAGGGUUACCAUUUCUGUGGUCUAAUUGUUGUGUGUGUUUUUCUAUUAUUUCCCUUCCUUUAGUAGCUGAUUGAAGUGGCACAGUAAGUGAUGGAUGAGUUGGACUCUAGAACUGCUCAAUUUCAAUUGAUGAUGUCCUCGUUUUAGAUAUUCUCAUGUACUAACAGUUUGUCCAUUCCUUGUGACACUUGCUUUUUACUGCAGCUGCAGCUGGGAACUCAGAGAACUAAUUCUUGAAACUUCAGGGCCAAGGAUGUCUCUGCCCAUGCUCAAGGCUAGGAAAGCUAAAAAGAUAAUGGUACCUACCAGAUGUCAAGGCUCAUGAUCUAUGUGAUUGUUGCAAUCACUUUUCAUUGCUGAAUCUGAAUGGCAGCUGACCAAGUAUUCUGUGCAUUUUAAUGAACUAUAUGAUGGAUUUUCUGAACCCAACUCGUCAAAUAUCUGGUAAAGGACAAUGGUCUAAUUCCCGUUCAAAAAAAAAAGACAAUGGUCUAAUCUAAGGAGCCUCAGAAGAGUAGUUCUAUACACAGGGAAGUGUCUGUCAAGCAUACUUGCAAUUUAAAUGUUGAACACAAAAAGGUUUGACGAGCUGCAGUUUGCCAACAUAAUGGUCAGGCGUUUAGUCCUUUUUCGUUCAAUCUGUACUUCUGGAAGAUAUGAGUAUGCUAUUAUAUUUGCUUGUACAUAGCGAGAUAAUUAAACCAUGUGCACGAAACUAAGGAUUCAGAUAUGGCUGUAUUUUUUUAAAAGAAAAUGCAAUGCAAGUUCCAUCUAUAGAUGCAGCGAUACAAUUCA